rnacentral:tRNA from 1 species
AUAUCUUAAGGCCCUUGCCUUCUUAAUAUCUUCAAUAUUAUACUUUAAAAUAAGCUAUUAAGAUA